ACAACAGGAAGUCCAACCGACGCUCAAUCAGCAACUUAGUUUUCGAGGCCAACGCGAACGAUGCACCCCUCCAUAAGACGUGAGGCUAUUGUUCCACAGCAGUGCACGAAUUGUUGCACUUUGUAUCAUUGUCCACUAUGCCCUGCCCUACAGUCUAUGAGGUUGGCAAGAAUCCAACAGCAUUUAGAUGGACAUUUAAAAAAUGCAAUCAUUUUUGAAGAUAAGAGAAUAUGUCGUUGCCAUCUGCCAUGUAGGUCUGAGGGUCACUACCAUUGUCCGUUUUGCAUGAAGACAAUACUUAGAAGAAACAGUAUGGAGUGUCAUCUAAAAAUAUGCUCAAAAUCUGCAUCUGAGCCUUCCCACAGCCUACUUUUUCCAGCGCAAGAAUCUUCCCUCGACCUACCUGUUAUGGCACAAGAACCUUCUCAUACCAUACCGCUACCAGUACAAGAGCCCUCCCAAGCUAAUGAGCUGGGUCCAGAAAACAGUUCUAAAACAACAAAUACAACAAAGUGCCCUCAUUGCUCAUUAAAUUUGCUCAAAAAGAAUUUGGACACACACAUCUUAAGAAAACAUACAGACAUAUCCCAGGAUGUAACACUCAUGUCUCAUCUUUCCAGCAUUUGUGUUGAUGUAUCUAAUGGAGUGUCAGUAGUUCAACGAACUGGCCAUG